UUCUGGCUCAGGAUGAACGCUGGCGGCGUGCUUAACACAUGCAAGUCGAACGAAGCAACUUGUCACGAUCCCUUCGGGGUGACGACUUGUUGACUGAGUGGCGGACGGGUGAGUAACGCGUGGGUAACCUACCUUGUACAGGGGGAUAACAGUUGGAAACGACUGCUAAUACCGCAUAAGCGCACAGCAUCGCAUGAUGCAGUGUGAAAAGUUUUUUCGGUAUAAGAUGGACCCGCGUCUGAUUAGCUAGUUGGUGAGGUAACGGCCCACCAAGGCGACGAUCAGUAGCCGACCUGAGAGGGUGACCGGCCACAUUGGGACUGAGACACGGCCCAAACUCCUACGGGAGGCAGCAGUGGGGAAUAUUGCACAAUGGGCGAAAGCCUGAUGCAAGCGACGCCGCGUGAGCGAAGAAGUAUUUCGGUAUGUAAAGUUCUAUCAGCAGGGAAGAUAAUGACGGUACCUGACUAAGAAGCACCGGCUAAAUACGUGCCAGCAGCGGC
rnacentral:rRNA from 1 species